CAGCCACAAAUUAAAUCUGCCUUUCCAGAGGAAGAAGACUAGACUUUCAUGACAACUGCUUGCAGUCUUCAUAAGAAAACCUAAAAAAUAAUGUACCAUCUGGGUGUUCAUCUAUAAUAUAAGGACUGCCUUGAUACAUGACCUGCUGAAGAUACACCCCUGAAUCUAGUUUAGCAUGCUGCUUUAAAAAGUGAAUGUCUGGAUGACUGGGGAAGACCAGGGAGGUUGGAAUGGGGUGUGAUGCCUUCCUACACUCAGAUGGAUUGCUGCCCACCAGGGUGUGUUGGGGGACACCUGAAGGAAAAAAGUGGCUCCAGAAACUUCUGCAGACAUUACUGCCACAGGGCAGACCUUGGCUGUGUGGAUAUGGCUGGGAUUAAUGAAAAAGCGUUGGCAAUCCAGAGGUUGGUCAGCUGCAAUACACACAAAAGUAGCUGGGCUUUGAUCCAGAAGCUUAUAUCUAUCUCCCUGUGAAAAACAGAAUGAGGACACUCUAAUUGAGGAGACUUUAGUCUGCUUCAGACUUCUUCAUUUUCAGCUAAAUCAGAGGCACACACAGUUUGAAAUGCCAAAGUAAGCAAAACUUCAUAGUUACUGCUAUCUUUAAAAUUCUCUUCUCAUAUCUUUGCAGAGAUAGGGAAUGUUUCCUGUCACCUCCAUGCAGACAGCUUUUAUGUAGGGGAAAAAAGUUAAAGAACCAGUAAAAAUAAUCCUCUGUUGGGAUCUGCAUACAACAGAGUUUGUGACUACAGUUUAAACUUUUGUUUUUUUUCUGUUUACAUAAGUAAAAGGAGAACUGUGACAAGCUCUUUAAAGCAUGAAUAUUGUAUGCUCCUGGGAUUCUGUAAAGACCUAUUGAAGUUGUAAGCUUUUCUCCAAGCUCAGUAUUAUUCCAUAAAGACUAUGGAUGACAUUCUUGUUACUGAGGAGAGAAGCUGUGAUAAUCUAUUACAUUUUCUCAUUUUGAAAAGAAAAUAGUGAAUCAAUUCUGUU